rnacentral:rRNA from 1 species
GAAUAUUGCGCUAAUGCGCGAAAGCGCGACGCAGCGACGCCGCGUGCGGGAUGAAGGCCUUCGGGUCGUAAACCGCUUUCGCCAGGGUCGAAGCGAGAGUGACGGUACCUGGAGAAGAAGUCCCGGCUAACUACGUGCCAGCAGCCGCGGUAACACGUAGGGGACGAGCGUUGUCCGGAUUCAGUGGGCGUAAAGCGCGCGUAGGCGGCCCGGAAAGUCGGAUGUGAAAACCUGGGGCUCAACCCCAGGCGUGCACCCGAUACUCCCGGGCUGGAGGCAGGUAGGGGAGAUCGGAAUUCCUGGUGUAGCGGUGAAAUGCGCAGAUAUCAGGAGGAACACCGGUGGCGAAGGCGGAUCUCUGGGCCUUGCCUGACGCUGAGGCGCGAAAGCUAGGGGAGCGAACAGG